rnacentral:rRNA from 1 species
UACGUAGGGGGCAAGCGUUGUCCGGAUUUAUUGGGCGUAAAGAGCUCGUAGGCGGCUCGUUGCGUCAACCGUGAAAACCCGGGGCUUAACUUCGGGCUUGCGGUUGAUACGGGCAGACUGGAGUACUGCAGGGGAGACUGGAAUUCCUGGUGUAGCGGUGGAAUGCGCAGAUAUCAGGAGGAACACCGGUGGCGAAGGCGGGUCUCUGGGCAGUAACUGACGCUGAGGAGCGAAAGCGUGGGGAGCGAACAGG